UCCUGGCGACCAUAGCGGUUUGGAACCACCUGACUCCAUCUCGAACUCAGUAGUGAAACAGACCAGCGCCGAUGAUAGUGUGAGGCUUCCUC
rnacentral:rRNA from 1 species